CAUUCUUUACUAAUUGUUUAUUUUAUUUUUCUUUCCGUCACUUUUUUUUUCUUGACCUUAAUCAAGAGGAAGGAAAAUCUGUGGUCGAGUUGGAGAAAGAUGACAGAAAACUCA
rnacentral:ribozyme from 13 species